CACAUCCGCUGGACGUGGAGGGGUUGCGGCCAACGGCCUUAACGGCUGCCCGCCACCGUCCCCCGUCCUCGCUGCCUAGACGCCGCCUCCUACCAGCGCCUUUCGGCCGCGCCGUUCCUCGUAAUUGAAUGUUAUGUUCCUGGGAGGGAAAAGGGCUGGGGAGGAAGCCGAAGGGAAAGAGGCGCCAGAGUAACUUCCUCAGGGGCGCCCCUCCCCGCCCCGCCGCGGGCUCGGGCCCGGGAUCGGCCGAGGGGCGGCCUCUGCUCCGCCGUGCCAGCGGCUCCGCUCCAAACCAAAGUGGGAGUCAGGCUAAAAACAAGUGACUGCUGUCAUUGCUGAUAUGUCUCCAUACAUGAAGGGAAGGAGAGAGAAGAGGAAGAGGAGGGAGGAGAAGGAGAGAACAAAGGAAAAGAAAAACAAAGAGCUUUUAAUUCCCUAUUUUUUGAGGAAGAGACUGAAUUACUGAAACGAAAGACAUGAUUAGAGAAAAUGUGUAGCAGGUAAGCAUGGGAAUUCAUAUGACAUAUAGUAGAAUGUAUAAUUCUAUAGGACAGAAGUAUAUCUUAUCAAAUUUUUACUGCUAAUUUGUUUUGGUUUUUGGGAAGCCAUAAUGAUCUAAGUAUCUGGACCCACAUAAUGUAGCAUUUCCCAAAUUAUCUUUCAGGCAGCUAGGUGGUAUGGCAGAUAGAGUGAAAGGC